UGUCUUCCGAUAUUGACUCCUCCAAUUUUCAUGCUGACCAAUGCUCUGCAUUAAAUACAUGCAAUCUCCAGCCCCAUUACCCCAAGCAAUUAUUUGCUUAGUUCUCAUCCUUGCUUUCCGGAACUCCCUUUUCAACUAGUUUGUUUCAGUGAU